rnacentral:rRNA from 1 species
GACGAACGCUGGCGGCGUGCUUAACACAUGCAAGUCGAACGGGAAGGCCCUGCUUUUGUGGGGUGCUCGAGUGGCGAACGGGUGAGUAACACGUGAGUCACCUGCCCUUGACUUUGGGAUAACUUCAGGAAACUGGGGCUAAUACCGGAUAGGAGCUCCUGCUGCAUGGUGGGGGUUGGAAAGUUUCGGCGGUUGGGGAUGGACUCGCGGCUUAUCAGCUUGUUGGUGGGGUAGUGGCUUACCAAGGCUUUGACGGGUAGCCGGCCUGAGAGGGUGACCGGCCACAUUGGGACUGAGAUACGGCCCAGACUCCUACGGGAGGCAGCAGUGGGGAAUAUUGCACAAUGGGCGGAAGCCUGAUGCAGCAACGCCGCGUGCGGGAUGACGGCCUUCGGGUUGUAAACCGCUUUCGCCUGUGACGAAGCGUGAGUGACGGUAAUGGGUAAAGAAGCACCGGCUAACUACGUG